CUUCCCUAUAUCCAGCUAUGCAACAAGAUCCGGGUGGCGAUGGUCAGUUCUUGAGCUUCGAACGGGCAGAAAGCUAUGCAACAAGAUCAGGGUGGCGAUGGUCAGUUCUUGAGCUUCGAACAGGCAGAAAGUUAUGCAACAAGAUCUGGGUGGAGAUGGCCAGUUGUUGAGCUUCAAACGGGCAGAAAGCUGUGCAACAAGAUCCGGGUGGCGAUGGUCAGUUCUUGAGCUUCGAACUGGCAGAAAG